rnacentral:rRNA from 1 species
UUGGAGGGCAAGUCUGGUGCCAGCAGCCGCGGUAAUUCCAGCUCCAAUAGCGUAUAUUAAAGUUGUUGCAGUUAAAAAGCUCGUAGUUGAAUUUCGGAAUCAAUUUGUUGGUCGUGCCUCGGUACGUACUGGUAUUAUUGGUUUCUACCUUCUGAAGAACCUUGAUGUCAUUAAUUUGGUGUUACGGGGAAUUAGGACUGUUACCUUGAAAAAAUUAGAGUGUUUAAAGCAGGCUCACGCUUGAAUACAUUAGCAUGGAAUAAUGAAAUAGGACAUCCGAUUCUAUUUUGUUGGUUUCUAGGAUCGAUGUAAUGAUUAAUAGGGAUAGUUGGGGGCAUUAGUAUUCAAUUGUCAGAGGUGAAAUUCUUGGAUUUAUUGAAGACUAACUACUGCGAAAGCAUUUGCCAAGGAUGUUUUCAUUAAUCAAGAACGAAAGUUAGGGGAUCGAAGACGAUCAGAUACCGUCGUAGUCUUAACCAUAAACUAUGCCGACUAGGGAUCGGAUGAUGUUAAUUUUUUAAUGACUCAUUCGGCGCCUUACGGGAAAC